rnacentral:rRNA from 1 species
CUACGGGUUGCUCCAGUGAGGAAUAUUGGUCAAUGGGCGCGAGCCUGAACCAGCCAUCCCGCGUGCAGGAUGACGGCCCUAUGGGUUGUAAACUGCUUUUCUAUGCCAAGAAACCCUGUUACGAGUAACAGGUUGCCGGUAGCAUAGGAAUAAGCAUCGGCUAACUCCGUGCCAGCAGCCGCGGUAAUACGGAGGAUGCAAGCGUUAUCCGGAUUCAUUGGGUUUAAAGGGUGCGCAGGUGGGCUUGUAAGUCAGUGGUGAAAUGCUGCCGCUUAACGGUAGAACUGCCAUUGAUACUGCGAGUCUUGAGUAUGGUUGAGGUAGGCGGAAUGUGUUGUGUAGCGGUGAAAUGCAUAGAUAUGACACAGAACGCCAAUUGCGAAGGCAGCUUACUAAGCCGUUACUGACGCUGAGGCACGAAAGCGUGGGGAGCGAACAGGAUUAGAUACCCCGGUAGUC